AUUGAACGCUGGCGGCAGGCCUAACACAUGCAAGUCGAGCGGAUGAAGGGAGCUUGCUCCUGGAUUCAGCGGCGGACGGGUGAGUAAUGCCUAGGAAUCUGCCUGGUAGUGGGGGAUAACGUCCGGAAACGGGCGCUAAUACCGCAUACGUCCUGAGGGAGAAAGUGGGGGAUCUUCGGACCUCACGCUAUCAGAUGAGCCUAGGUCGGAUUAGCUAGUUGGUGGGGUAAAGGCCUACCAAGGCGACGAUCCGUAACUGGUCUGAGAGGAUGAUCAGUCACACUGGAACUGAGACACGGUCCAGGCGCCUACGGGAGGCAGCAGUGGGGAAUAUUGGACAAUGGGCGAAAGCCUGAUCCAGCCAUGCCGCGUGUGUGAAGAAGGUCUUCGGAUUGUAAAGCACUUUAAGUUGGGAGGAAGGGCAGUAAGUUAAUACCUUGCUGUUUUGACGUUACCAACAGAAUAAGCACCGGCUAACUUCGUG
rnacentral:rRNA from 1 species